rnacentral:ncRNA from 1 species
AGGGGAGGCGUAGGGAAACCGAGUCUUAAUAGGGCGAUCAGUCGCUGGGAGUAGACCCGAAACCGGGCGAUCUAUCCAUGGGCAGGUUGAAGGUUGAGUAACAUCGACUGGAGGACCGAACCGACUACCGUUGAAAAGUUAGCGGAUGACCUGUGGAUCGGAGUGAAAGGCUAAUCAAGCCCGGAGAUAGCUGGUUCUCCUCGAAAGCUAUUUAGGUAGCGCCUCGUGUAUCACUGCUGGGGGUAGAGCACUGUUUCGGCUAGGGGGUCAUCCCGACUUACCAAACCGAUGCAAACUCCGAAUACCAGCAAGUGUCAGCACGGGAGACACACGGCGGGUGCUAACGUCCGUCGUGAAAAGGGAAACAACCCAGACCGUCAGCUAAGGUCCCAAAGUCAUGGUUAAGUGGGAAACGAUGUGGGAAGGCUUAGACAGCUAGGAGGUUGGCUUAGAAGCAGCCAUCCUUUAAAGAAAGCGUAAUAGCUCACUAGUCGAGUCGGCCUGCGCGG